rnacentral:lncRNA from 1 species
UAGUGCUGGGAUUACAGGUGUGAGCCACUGCCCCUGGCCUAAUACAGGUGUCUUUAAUUGGACAAACUUGAAAACCAACAAAUACACUUGCAGCACUAGACAUUUGGGGAACUGUCUUUCAGCAAAUUGGCUGCUUCGCAGGUGGACCACUUGGGAGCAUCUGCAGAGGCAAGUGCCCUGUGGUGGCUGGAACAGACAGGGGUUCUUUGUCUCAGGCAGGAAGUCCCAGAUGCACAGUCUAAGCUGGCGGGACCUGGAGCUGACUGGCCCUCAGCCACACCGUCCUUGUCACAGCAGCCUCCCCUCCACUCCUGCUUGCCACAGAUGGUGUCCUCCCUUCCAGGGCUCUUGCAGUGUUCUGGGCAGGAAGAAGGAGAGGGAAAAGGGCUGACUCCCAGCGAGGGACUUGUGCCUUUUUCUCCCGAGCCAGUACUGUGUCCCAGACCCCCCUAGUUGCAAGGGAGCGGCAGUGGGGUGUGUUUUCAGCAGGUCCCAUUGCUGUCUUGAACAAAAUCAGAAUCUGUUGGUGAGGAAAGAGGGGGACGGAUGUGGGACUGGCAGCUCAGGGGAGGGACAACUUACUCUCGGGACCACGGGGCAGGGGGUGGAGCAGAGAAGGCAGAGCCACCAGCAGAGGGGGUCCUGCAGCUGGGCCUCAACAGGCAGUAUGGAAGUG